AUUUAGCCCUGAUUACAGAGAAAAUCCUUUUUUUGGGAUUUUGCCUUUGAGCAAGAUUCCAAAAAAAAGAUUGCAUCGGAAAGCAGGAAUUACC
rnacentral:sRNA from 1 species